rnacentral:tRNA from 1 species
GCUGGCGUAGCUUAAUUA